GACAAACAUUGGUAUGAAGACUUCUGUGUGUUUUGAGAGUGUGUGGUGGGAGGCUGGACAGAUUUUUUUUUUUUCCAAUCCAAAAAAGGAUCAGAGACCUUGGUUCAGAGCAUAUUCUCUGCUUGGAGAGUGAGACAUCUUUAACAGGUUUGCUGCUGCUUGUAUGUUCUCAAUCCCCGGCGGCCUCCUUCCAGCUCAAACAGCCGUGCAGGCCAG